UCGGAUGACCAUAAACACAAGAGAAGAACCAAUCAUUAUUAUUUGGGAAAUCAGAAAUUUUACAUGUAAUCACAUGGCGAGAUGAAGCUAUGAUCUACAGAUUAAUUCCCUCUUUCCAAAGUAAAGCCAAACCACCACUUCUUCCAUUAGCAGCAACAAAAUGACACCCACUAUACUUUAUUUUUUUUUCUAACUGUUUCCAUUCAACUAACCUUCACUUUUGUCUCAGAAAUAAAGAUCACCUCCGGGUCACCUACCCGGAUGAGGUCCUUUAGAUUUUGGACUGCAGAGGAGGAACCCAUUCCCCUGCAAUUCCAAGAUAGUAUCAUAAAAGAGGAAGCUGCU
rnacentral:lncRNA from 1 species